rnacentral:rRNA from 1 species
UACCAGCACCCCGAGUGGUCGGGACGUUUAUUGGGCCUAAAGCAUCCGUAGCCGGUUCUACAAGUCUUCCGUUAAAUCCAUCUGCUUAACAGAUGGGCCGCGGAGGAUACUAUAAGACUAGGAGGCAGGAGAGGCAAGCGGUACUCAGUGGGUAGGGGUAAAAUCCGUUGAUCCAUUGAAGGCCACCAGUGGCGAAGGCGGCGACCUGGUCCAAGACUGACGCUGGAGGCGCGAAAGCCGUGGGGAGCAAACAGG